CAUCCAUUCCGCUGUACCACAUAGAUCUGCCCAUCUGGCUGGUCUUUUCUCUCUCUCUCUGCCUUCCUUUGUGAGUCACAUAAUGCCAUACCUUCAAAGAGCUUGAAUGGCUUGACCAUGAUUUAAGAACUAUUCAGUGUCAGAGUCUAGAUAGGGACUGAGCUCUUUCAAUUUCAAAUCCAGCACUCUGUCCAGAACUAGAAAGCUGAACUGAACGGCAAGCUUCUUCCAUUCUAAUGGCAGUCAACAAGCCCGGAUCAUACAUGGACCAGAAUUCAGAUGGAUCACUGUAGCAUUGGAGUAUUGAUCAUCUGGGAAAUCUUGUCCCUUCAUUGUGAUUGAGAACAACAGAACCAUUAUAAUGUGCAAGGAGCACAGA